UAUGGAGUUUAGGCAGAUGUGUGCAGACCCAGUAGUCACUCUGUAUGCAAGCAUUAGUGACUUGAAUUUGAUUGUGAGGCCACGGGUAGCCAGUGGAGGUCACUGAGUAAUGGAGUGACAUGAGUUAUUUUGGUCUGAUCACAAACCAGACACGCUCCUUUGUUCUGCCCCAUUUGUAGGAGUUUCACCAUACAAGCUAGAAGACCUGCUAGGAGGGCAUUGCAGUAGUCGAGGCGAGGGAUAACUAUGGCCUGUAUCAGAAGCUGGGUGGCGUACUGAGUAAGGUUCACUUACCCUCGUCCUCCGUCAAGCCAGCUGGGCUCGCCCUCCUGCCCUCUCCCCUCAGACUUCCCCCACGGCGUCCUUCCGGCUCUCCCUCGUGCCUCACCAGUCAGCCUGCCACCACACUCCUGCACCAACCCCCCCGGUCAGUUCUCCUGUGCCUCAUCUCUUCCUCUGUCCCCACUGCCCCCCUCGGCUCCCUAGUCACAACCUCCUCUGCCCUUCUUGCUCCUCAGUGCCCCGUGCCCGUGUUCCCCGGCGGCCACCUCUCCCUCACCUCCGCUACCUUAACCCCUCCCUUUCCGUCAAUAAAAUCUGUUUCCACCUGAGCGUUGCUUUUGGGUCCUCCUAACAGUUCCCCCUUUGGUGAUAAUAUAUCAUGUCAGUAUAAUAUUAAUAUAUUUGUAGGUCACACUUUAUUGGGAUAGUCUGCCUACAGAUAUUUAAACAGUUUAUCAUUUGAGAUUCAAUGUAACCGUUUAACAAAUAUAGCAGUGUUCUGAUAUUACACCACUAUGGUUUUAAGGUGUGAUUAGGGCUAAUUGUAGUAUAUUCAUUAUAAUUUCAGAAAAUAGUAGACUACAAAUAUAGCUUACCACUUGUAGGCUACAAUAUAAAUUCCAGUUGGACAAAACAGCCAUCGUAAUAAUUUGUCAUAACAUGCAGAACAACGAGUUCAACAUGUUAAAAGUUUGCUGAUUGGAGCGUCACUUUGCGUUGCCAACUUCAGGGCCAGUGGGCCACCUUCCUUAGCCUAAACUUGUUUACUAAUAAUGAAAAAGUUGGCAGAAGGUUGAGAGACACAGGCCCACCCCCUUCUCCCCUAGCCUGUUGGUCUAUUCCAUAUGAAGGUCUAUGCAGCCCUUAGCACUGCCCCGUCCAUCUCACUCACACACCACAGUGACACUGACAGCUGGAAAAUGAGCUACAGUAAAUAUUGAGCUAGUACAAGUAUUGAACUACAAGAAACAAGACAGUUGCAAGCCUUUAAUUAGAGUUACGUAAAGCUGUUGAUGGUGAGGGAACUCGCUCAAACAUUUCUGCGCUGAAACAGGCUGGGGGGGCAGAUACCGAUGCUGGAUUGGGGGGCUGUGUUUGCACAUAAUGGGCCAUCGUCGUGUCAUCCUAACAGGUCUGCCAGACCCUGCUAUAGCCCAAACAUACAAACCUAAACUUAACCCACUAAAACUGUUAAACCCAUGGAAGAAAAAACUAAAGUUUAUUUGGAAUCUGGAGUUUUCAGGCAGACACAAGAUGAACAACAAGACAAACACAGAAGAUCAACAGAAGGCACAGUCCCAAAGUAUUUGAAGAAGCGGACACCACACAAUUAUUUAUUUAUCAGUUGUAAACAGUUGUUAUCACUACUGCUGAUGAUUGAUACAGUGGGUAGCCCAUUUGACAUUUUAAUGUGUUUUUGACAUGCAGGACCAAGUCCAAAAAAGUUUUAUACAUCAAAAAGUUUGUUUUCCACUAAAUAUAUAUACAAUCUAUAGAUGACUCAUUUAAUCUGUUUUAAACUUCAGUAUUGCUGUGUGUGGUUCAGAAACCUUUCCAAUGAGAACAGACUUGAUAUUCUUGUUAAAUUGGCCAGCAAGAUCUCAGCAAGGAGUCAGACCAAGCUUUCAGACCUUUAUAACAGGCAGGUCCUUAGGAUGGCUAAUGCUACAUUGGACUGCUAGAAUUGUCCACUCCAGAGCGAGUUUGAGCUAUAACCCUCAGGCCACCAUUUCAGCACUACUGUCUGCAGUACUAAAAUACUCUAUGUUUCUUUCAUCCCCAUCUGGCAGAUAGCUCUGGGGUACAUUGUGUUGUAUUUUGCACUCUGAAAAUUUUGAACAUUGAAAUUGGUUUGAACUUUCUGUGACUUCUUGUGUGGAUGUUGUUGUUGAUGUUGACCUUUUGCAUUUUGUCUUUCAUUUGAAGCCUGGCUGCAUAACAGUUUUUCCCCAGUGGUAUAAGAAAGAUAAACUUUUCAUAAUGUCAAACUCAAAACAGGACAGCAAACACAGGGAAGUUGAAAAAACAAAUUAACACACACAAGGGAUGAGGAGGAGAUACUGCAGUACCACAAUAAAACUAAAACUGAACUAAGAUAUCUAGAAAAAUAUCCGUCUACUGAAACAUCACGCCACAAGCCCUGAUGUCCAUACCAACAAUAAAUGCCAUUCAUAAACCAGUUUUACAGCCACAUCAGCCUUCCUCUGUAUAACCUUACAACACUCAUCCAGAUAUAAAACUCAAAUAAAAAGAGCUGUGGACACUGCGUCGGGUGCAACAAACCUGGCCAUAUAACUUUCUUCCAUGUUUAUACUCUACAGACCUUUUCCCAUUUGACUGUUUCACUGCCAUUUCUCCUUCUUCUCAGUGCCCGGAGUCCAGAAAGUUUGAAUGUGCCGGUGUAUAGAGGUCUUUUCUCCCAUCACUCCUGUGCACAAGCACAAACGCCACCUUUUGCAGAUUGGCUGGAACAAUAUUGUGGGGAACAUCCAUACCACUUUCUUUGUUUUUCAUUUACAAAGCGAGGGCUAUGUAGGAAAAUCUAAAAAAAUGUUUUUACAGCACACACAAAACGGAAAUUAGUGUGUUUUGGAUUACAAUCCCUUUAAAUCAGUGACCAAUUAAGGUAGAUGGAACCAUUUUUAAGGGGGUACAAGAAUGCUAAAAAUACCCUUAUUGACUUCAUCCAUAAUUUUGGUGCUUAUUUUUGCAUUGUUUGCAGCUACUGUAGCUACAUUCAGCCAGUGAAGCUCUGUGGAAAUCUGCUCUCCUGCAGCCGAAUACGAAUCUUCUCCUCUGCUGAAGCUUCUGAUUUAACAUUCCUGAGCUGACUUUCCCCCCAAAUAACGAGUAACUUUGGGUAGAAAAUAUAUUAGUUUCCAUCACAUUAUUUGUGUUUACCCAUAUUUGGGUUAAUUCUUACUAACAAUAGUGAACAUGCAGUGUGCUUAGGUUUAGGCAACACAAAUGUCAGCAACAAAUGUGCCCCUUGUGAAAAGAGUACAAUUUGUGCUUUGUAUUUUUUACUCAGGACUUUGAUUUCCCUCUAUGUGGCCAGGUGUCGACUUUGUACAGGUGAAAAGACUGCAGACAUGAGCACUGAAGAAGGGAGACCUUAGUGACGUUGUUCUGCAGUCUAAGAUAUGAGGUGUGACUGAUUCAGCUUUCAUUUCAUCAUCCUUCAUAUUGAAGUUCUUUUACACAAGAUUACUGAAUGCUGAAUAAACACUUUGGUAAUACAGCUGGUAUCAACAGCACGGAGAACUUUGUCAAGGGACUGUCAAGGUAUAAUAAAGCAGACAAUGAGUCAAUCCUGAUUACUCCAAAUGUAUACAGGUACAGAUGCAUGUGAUUUUGCAAUAGACUGUGGAAAAGGAGUAAUUAAGGCUUGUGUAAUUUACACUAUAGUUUUUGGCAAACUUUACACAAACUGGAGAAAGUAGCAUUUGUUGUGGACAAGCUGAGGAUUAAUUCACAUAUUGCUGUUUCUUUGAGUAUUUGGGGUAGCAGGAUGGUGUAUGAGGCACUGAGUCAAAAUGAACUACAGUCUGUGUGUUUAUGUCAAUGAGGGACCAUUUCCCCCAGGGCUACAGAGUGGAAACUCUUCUCACUGCAUAUAAGGAAGCAGCUCGACAGGCCAAAAUUAAAGCCACAGGCAGAAAUGUUUCAGGCUUCACGAAGCCAAAAAUAGUCAGAGUUAGUGAAAUUCUGAGUGAUACCAAUCACACUCUGAAGAGUUAUUAUGACUGGACAAAUCAAUAAGUUAAGGCCAAUUUCUUGCUAAGCCACGCCCUUUGUAUUAUUACUAUUACUAUUACUAUUUUUGUUGAUGGUGGCAAUAUUUUUUGGCCAAUCUUGCCUAAUUGUAAUGGAAAUGUGUAUCCCAAGUUCUAACUGUUUUUUCUCAUUUUGUGAAUUACCAAAAAAUUCAUCAGACUUUAGUCCGCAGACUUUAUGGUCCAAGAGGUUUGUUGUAGAGCACUUUUGGCCUCUACUCAAUUUGUGCUCAAGUCAAUUGGACUUACAGUGUGAGAGACUUUACAAAAUAGCAUUUUUGGAGCUUAAUUACAGCACCAUCAUUUGGCAGACAUAUAUUUAUGUGGAUGCAGUUGCGCAUCAUUUCCAGUUAGUGGCGCAAGUUGAGUGUUUCUAGCUCACUACAGCUCACAGAAAUAUGAGACACGGAAUAAGACAAAUAAUAUUAAACUCAUUAGAGUUCUGCGUUCUUGCUGUGGAAUGAUGACAAUGCUGUCACCAUGAAAUCUGUUGCAGAACAGCUGUUUUUCCACAGUUGUGUUAAAAGAAAUGCAUCUGGAAAAAAAAUAAAAUAAAACAAGAAGCCGGAACAUAAACGCCGAAGCGUUUAUUGCAGUAACUUGCAGUAAAAAGACUUGUCCAACUGCAGCACAGAUUAGUUGUUCAGCUGGUGAUGAUCACAUCUUCUUGGCGCACACGUAGUUCUUCUUCUCUGAGCAGUAUGUACCAUUCAAGUUUCCCUCAUC